UGGCAGAGAGUAGGAGAAGAUAACCAUAUAAACAUUUACAUUACUUGGACCAUGGAUUCUUAGAACUUGAUUCAUUGUCUAGCAGCCAAGCCACCACACCAUAACCUUUGAUUUUGAAUAACUCGGUGAGAUGAAGGCAAAGCUCGCUAGUUGUCAGCAAGAAACAGAACUCGAUCAUGUGUAGCUGUUGAGAUUUUUUGGAGAACUACAUUCUUGACAUGAGCAGCUGCUGUUUCACCAGAACG
rnacentral:misc_RNA from 1 species